rnacentral:rRNA from 1 species
GACGAACGCUGGCGGCGUGCCUAAUACAUGCAAGUAGAACGCUGAAGGAGGAGCUUGCUCUUCUGGAUGAGUUGCGAACGGGUGAGUAACGCGUAGGUAACCUGCCUGGUAGCGGGGGAUAACUAUUGGAAACGAUAGCUAAUACCGCAUAACAGUAGAUGUUGCAUGACAUUUGCUUAAAAGGUGCAAUUGCAUCACUACCAGAUGGACCUGCGUUGUAUUAGCUAGUUGGUGGGGUAACGGCUCACCAAGGCGACGAUACAUAGCCGACCUGAGAGGGUGGUCGGCCACACUGGGACUGAGACACGGCCCAGACUCCUACGGGAGGCAGCAGUAGGGAAUCUUCGGCAAUGGACGGAAGUCUGACCGAGCAACGCCGCGUGAGUGAAGAAGGUUUUCGGAUCGUAAAGCUCUGUUGUAAGAGAAGAACGAGUGUGAGAGUGGAAAGUUCACACUGUGACGGUAUCUUACCAGAAAGGGACGGCUAACUACGUG